rnacentral:misc_RNA from 1 species
UUGCUUUAUUUAAUCAUAAACUUAGACAUAUGACAUGAUUUAUUCAGAGUUUGGGGGUUGGCUAUCGACGGACGCUGGCCAGAGGACGCCUUUCAGCGGUCCUCCGGCGGUCGUGAGACGGGUCCGCCGAAGCAACAGAGGUUCAAUAAACAUAGGGUUGGGAGGUCGGGCCUGGAAGACCCUAACUCUUUAAUGAUCCUUCCGCAGGUUCACCUAGAAAAAAGUUAGCGAAUGUCGUUGGCAAGGCCGGGGGCUUUGUAUAACUCACCUACGGAAA